UCGGCAUCGCCAUUCAGGGAUCCCACAGGGACAUUGGCGAACUUGGCAAAGUAUUUCUGGAUGCGGGGAGUCUCCUUGAAGAGCCUUUUAUCAAAAAAUGGAAGAGACCAUGGCGUUGCGGCCGCUCCUGAUGUUCUCCCAGCUCCUCUGGACGUCACGGAUUUGACGGGCGGACAAUUUGGUCUGGGGAUCAGCCAAAUCGUCGGGGUUCCUUUAAAGUUAAAUGCCACCAUGUAAAAUUUGCGCCAGUGUUUUUUUUUACAGACAACCAGGAAUUACUUGAGGGUCUUGGAGAUACCGGCAACCAAAGCGGCAAGUCCGUUCUUCCAGGCGCUCUUGGCCUCGGCGUUGAAGGAGCUGCCCAGCUCUUCAGCGAGGACUUCUUCCAGGAUGGCACCGAAUUGCUACAAAUGUUUCAUAUUUCAUUUCAAUUCAAUAUUUACUUUUUUAGAAAUCUUCUUUGAUUUAGCAAACCUCGAACAUGAUGGGAGUAGCACCGCGGGACUGAUGGGCUCCUCCGAGAGCGUUGAGUUGGCUGGCCAUCAACUCCUGGCUGGCCAGGGACUGGAUGACGACGUUCAAACCGGCCAAAAUGGUGUAAGCCUGGGCCAAGAAGUU